UACGUAGGCAGCAAGCGUUGUUCGGAAUUACUGGGCGUAAAGAGUGUGUAGGCGGUGCUCUAAGUUCGGGGUGAAAUCUCCCGGCUUAACUGGGAGGGUGCGCCGGAAACUGGAGUGCUUGAGCGCGGGAGAGGAAAGCGGAAUUCCUGGUGUAGCGGUGAAAUGCGUAGAUAUCAGGAGGAACACCUGUGGUGUAGACGGCUUUCUGGACCGUAGCUGACGCUGAGACACGAAAGCGUGGGUAGCAAACAGG
rnacentral:rRNA from 1 species